rnacentral:rRNA from 1 species
UGCCAGCCGCCGCGGUAACACGGGGGGCGCAAGCGUUAUUCGGAAUUAUUGGGCGUAAAGGGCGCGCAGGCGGUCUUGUCCGUCAGGUGUGAAAGCUCGGGGCUCAACCCCGGAAGUGCACUUGAAACAGCAAGACUUGAAUACGGUAGAGGAGAGAGGAAUUCCUGGUGUAGAGGUGAAAUUCGUAGAUAUCAGGAGGAACACCGAUGGCGAAGGCAUCUCUCUGGCUCGGUACUGACGCUGAGAUGCGAAAGCGUGGGGAGCAAACAGGAUUAGAUA